GAUGAAGAACGUAGCGAAAUGCGAUAAGUAGUGUGAAUUGCAGAAUUCAGUGAAUCAUCGAAUCUUUGAACGCACAUUGCGCCCCAUGGUAUUCCGUGGGGCAUGCCUGUUCGAGCGUCAUUUACCCCCUCAAGCUCCGCUUGGUGUUGGGCGUCUGUCCCGCUUCGCGCGCGGACUCGCCCCAAAGGUAUUGGCAGCGGUCGUGCCAGCUUCUCGCGCAGCACAUUGCGCUUCUCGAGGCACCGGUGGGCCCGCGUCCAUCGAGCUCACCCCCCCAGUUUGACCUCGGAUCAGGUAGGGAUACCCGCUGAACUUAAGCAUAUCAAUAAGCGGAGGA
rnacentral:misc_RNA from 1 species